rnacentral:misc_RNA from 1 species
CUCCGUUUCACAAUGUAAGUCAUUGUAGCAUUCUCCACAUUUAUAUUGAUGUUAAUGAAUCUAGAUAGAUAUAUAUGUCUAGAUUCAUUAACAUCAAUAUGAAUGUGGGAAAUGCUAGAAUGACUUACAUUGUGAAAAGG